rnacentral:rRNA from 1 species
GCUCUAGUAGCGUAUAUUAAGGGUUAGGGUUAGGUUAAAAAGCUCGUAGUUGAACUUGAAGUGUUGCUGGGCUGGUCUGUCUAACGACUGGACUGGCUGCAGUGCACUUGAUAUUGGGCUGGGCUGCAUGCACUUUGCUGUGUGUGUGGUCAGUGAGGCUCAGCAUUUACUGUGAAAAAAUUAGAGUGUUUAAAGCAGGC